rnacentral:rRNA from 1 species
AUCGAACGCUGGCGGCAUGCUUUACACAUGCAAGUCGAACGGCAGCGCGGGCUUCGGCCUGGCGGCGAGUGGCGAACGGGUGAGUAAUGCACCGGAACGUGCCCAGUAGUGGGGGAUAGCCCGGCGAAAGCCGGAUUAAUACCGCAUACGACCUGCGGGUGAAAGCGGGGGAGCGAAAGGCCUCGCGCUAUUGGAGCGGCCGAUGCCGGAUUAGCUAGUUGGUGGGUUUAAGGCUUACCAAGCCGACGAUCCGUAGCUGGUCUGAGAGGACGACCAGCCACACGGGAACGUGGCCGGGGCCAAGGGGCCUGCGAGACGGAGCAGUGGGGAACUGGGGGCAGUGGUGGCGAAUCUGAUCCAGCCGUGCCGCGUGCGGGAAGGAGGCCUUCGGUGUGUGAUGAGGGUUUGUGCGGGAAGAAAUGCUCUGGGCUGAUACGCCGGGGGGGUGACGGUACCGGAAGAAGAAGCACCGGCUAACUACGUG